AGCGAACGCUGGCGGCAGGCCUAACACAUGCAAGUCGAACGAACACUUCGGAGUUAGUGGCGGACGGGUGAGUAACACGUGGGAACGUGCCCUUUGGUACGGAAUAACUCAGGGAAACUUGAGCUAAUACCGUAUGUGCCCUUCGGGGGAAAGAUUUAUCGCCAUUGGAGCGGCCCGCGUCUGAUUAGCUAGUUGGUGAGGUAAAGGCUCACCAAGGCUACGAUCAGUAGCUGGUCUGAGAGGAUGAUCCGCCACAUUGGGACUGAGACACAGCCCAAACUCCUACGGGAGGCAGCAGUGGGGAAUCUUGCGCAAUGGGCGCAAGCCUGACGCAGCCAUGCCGCGUGAAUGAUGAAGGUCUUAGGAUUGUAAAAUUCUUUCUCCGGGGACGAUAAUGACGGUACCCGGAGAAGAAGCCCCGGCUAACUUCGUG
rnacentral:rRNA from 1 species